AUUGAACGCUGGCGGCAUGAUUUACACAUGCAAGUCGAACGGUAACAGGCCGCAAGGUGCUGACGAGUGGCGAACGGGUGAGUAAUGCAUCGGAACGUGCCCAGUCGUGGGGGAUAACUACUCGAAAGAGUAGCUAAUACCGCAUACGAUCUAUGGAUGAAAGCGGGGGACCGUAAGGCCUCGCGCGAUUUGAGCGGCCGAUGUCAGAUUAGGUAGUUGGUGGGGUAAAGGCUCACCAAGCCAACGAUCUGUAGCUGGUCUGAGAGGACGACCAGCCACACUGGGACUGAGACACGGCCCAGACUCCUACGGGAGGCAGCAGUGGGGAAUUUUGGACAAUGGGCGCAAGCCUGAUCCAGCAAUGCCGCGUGCAGGAAGAAGGCCUUCGGGUUGUAAACUGCUUUUGUACGGAACGAAACGGCUCUGGUUAAUACCCGGGGCUAAUGACGGUACCGUAAGAAUAAGCACCGGCUAACUACGUG
rnacentral:rRNA from 1 species